rnacentral:lncRNA from 1 species
CAUAAACCCAACAGGCAGGUCUCUGACAGCCUGGUGUGUGACUGAAGGUGGAAGGGUACAUUUUUCAAAGUUCCAGAGCUUUCGGUUUUAGAAGUAAAACUUUUCUGAGUUACCUGUGCUUAAAGGACGAGGAACUCUGUGAAUCAGCCUAAGUGACAGCUCCGGAAAGAAAGAAUUGACUCAUGCUUCUUAAACCUCUUUUCGCGCUUCCCUCACAACACCUCCGGGAAGAGCUGACACGGGGAAGGAAGACCCAUUGUGUGGGGAUUGUGGAUCCUCUAAGAUGCUACUGACUGAGCCAUCUCACCAACCCCCUGGCUAAACUCUCACAGACAAGGUACCUUCUACAUAAAACAAAAGGGACUGAG